UACGAGGGGGGCAAGCGUUGUUCGGAAUUAUUGGGCGUAAAGGGCGCGUAGGCGGUGCGGUAAGUCACCUGUGAAACCUCUAGGCUUAACCUAGAGCCUGCAGGCGAAACUGCCGUGCUUGAGGGUGGGAGAGGUGCGUGGAAUUCCCGGUGUAGCGGUGAAAUGCGUAGAUAUCAAGUGGAACACCAGUGGCGAAGGCGAGUCCCUGGACAACUCCUGACACUGAGGCACGAAAGCUAGGGGAGCAAACAGG
rnacentral:rRNA from 1 species